rnacentral:rRNA from 1 species
AUUGAACGCUGGCGGCAGGCCUAACACAUGCAAGUCGAGCGAGCGGCGGACGGGUGAGUAAUGUCUGGGAAACUGCCUGAUGGAGGGGGAUAACUACUGGAAACGGUAGCUAAUACCGCAUACCAUCAGAUGUGCCCAGGUGGGAUUAGCUAGUAGGUGGGGUAACGGCUCACCUAGGCGACGAUCCCUAGCUGGGCUGAGAGGAUGACCAGCCACACGGGAACUGAUACACGGUCCAGCCUCCUACGGGAGGCAGCAUUGGGGAAUAUUGCACAAUGGGCGCAAGCCUGAUGCAGCAAUGCCGCGUGUAUGAAGAAGGCCUUCGGGUUGUAAAGUACUUUCAGCGGGGAGGCGUUACCCGCAGAAGAAGCACCGGCUAACUCCGUGCCAGCCGCCGCGGUAAUAC